CACGUAGGCGGAUGUGUCAGUCAGGGGUGAAAUCCCGGAGCUCAACUUCGGAACUGCCUUUGAUACAGCACGUCUUGAGUCCGGAAGAGGUGGGUGGAAUUCCUAGUGUAGAGGUGAAAUUCGUAGAUAUUAGGAAGAACACCGGUGGCGAAGGCGGCCCACUGGUCCGGUACUGACGCUGAGGUGCGAAAGCGUGGGAGCAAACA
rnacentral:rRNA from 1 species